rnacentral:rRNA from 1 species
GAUGAACGCUGGCGGCGUGCCUAAUACAUGCAAGUCGAGCGAACGGACGAGAAGCUUGCUUCUCUGUCGUUAGCGGCGGACGGGUGAGUAACACGUGGAUAACCUACCUAUAAGACUGGGAUAACUUCGGGAAACCGUAGCUAAUACCGGAUAAUAUUUUGCACCGCAUGGUUCAAAAGUGAAAGACGGUGUUGCUGUCACUUAUAGAUGGAUCCGCGCUGCAUUAGCUAGUUGGUACGGUAACGGCUUACCAAGGCAACUAUGCAUAGCCGACGUGAGAGGGUGAUCGCCCACACGGGAGCUGGGCCACGGUCCAUACUCCUACGGGAGGCAGCAGUAGGGAACCUGCCGCAAUGGUCGAAAGCCUUGCGGAGCAACGGCGCGUGAGUGGUGGAGGUCUUCCGAUCGUAAAACUCUGUUAUUAGUUAAGAACAUAUGUGUAAGUAACUGUGCACAGCUUGACGGUACCGAAUCAGAAAGCCACGGCUAACUACGUG